GAUGAACGCUGGCGGCGUGCUUAACACAUGCAAGUCGAACGAUGAACCGGGUGCUUGCACUCGGGGAUUAGUGGCGAACGGGUGAGUAACACGUGAGCAACCUGCCCCUGACUCUGGGAUAAGCGCUGGCAACGGCGUCUAAUACUGGAUAUGUCCCGUCACCGCAUGGUGUGCGGGUGGAAAGAUUUUUCGGUUGGGGAUGGGCUCGCGGCCUAUCAGCUUGUUGGUGAGGUAAUGGCUCACCAAGGCGUCGACGGGUAGCCGGCCUGUGAGGGUGAUCGGCCACACUGGGACUGAGACACGGCCCAGACUCCUACGGGAGGCAGCAGUGGGGAAUAUUGCACAAUGGGCGGAAGCCUGAUGCAGCAACGCCGCGUGAGGGAUGACGGCCUUCGGGUUGUAAACCUCUUUUAGCAGGGAAGAAGCGAGAGUGACGGUACCUGCAGAAAAAGCACCGGCUAACUACGUGCCAGCCGCCGCCGUAA
rnacentral:rRNA from 1 species